rnacentral:lncRNA from 1 species
UAGGUUGCAGAUUUAUUCAGGAUGAUGGAGAAUUAAAACACAUUACGACCUGUCAUUCCAAUCAAUGAAUACAAAACUCUGGAUUGUCAACACCAACAGGUAAGGUGUCUAGUUUAUUUCAUAGCUUUCAGCCUUAAUUUAGACGUUUAAAGUUGGUAAUUUUAUUGAAUACUCUGAAAAGAAUAUGCACACACUUUUUUGCAUAAAUUAACUGUAAUGCUUAAGUAAAAUUAAAAGAUUGUAGUAUGCUUAAAUAAGAAGUCAUCUAGGUCUUUAUAAACGGCGCAUAGUUCAAUUGUUUUGAAAAAUGAACUGCAUACAAAAAAGGCAGUUGCAAAUAAAAGUCUUAAAUGAAGGGGAAAAAAAUCCAGGAACCAGAAUUAUUGUGCAACCAUGUUUUAAAAUGAUCCAACGGAAGAUUUGAAAUCGUUAGAAAAAGGUAAAACUAACAGUUUGUACUUUUAUCGCUAAUUUUUCUAUCGAAUUAUAGCAGUAAAAAGGUUCUGUAUUUAUUGUACCUUUAUAAUACUGCAAAGUAUCUUACCGAUAUUUUAAAAUUUUGUAAAUCUGGUUUUGAAAAAUUAAAGUGCUUAAAUUGUAUAACAGUUAUGUAAUCGUACUGAACUAUUUUAGUAAUUUUUUCAGUACUUAAAUCUAAACUAUUCAAAUGUACAUGCGCAACAGAAUUUAUAAAUGGUCGCAUGCUCUUCAGAAGGGAAUAGUGCUAAACAUUUAACAUUCGCACGACAAAUUGUAACGUCAGUUCAUAAUUAUCGAAGAUUAUUGGAGACAUGACUCUUGACUUAUUUGUAGAUUUUUUUUACAAAAUUUUUAACACAUAUUUAAGUUUUUUGUGGCUCUUUUAUCAGUUUUUUUCUUGAUUUUCUGAUAUAUAUUGGUUUUACUUAAAAUUUCUACAUAAUUCCUGGGUGAGAGUUAUACGACUGCUGAUCCUUUCUUUUUGCAUCUUUUAAGUUUUCUUGUGUUAAUCAAAAACAAACGAAUAAAAUUAAAGUGAUUUCUUUAUUGAUAAUGAUUUUCAACCAGUUUCUCGCAUACCUCAUUAAUAAUGUAUGCGCAUUGAUCCCUUGAGUUAUCCCAUACGAUUCUAUUGUCGAUGUUAUUUAAGUUAUAUUCUGUAAAUAGCUAAAAUGACGUACAAGGACUUUUACAAUCUUCGAAAGUUUUCACACAAAAAUAUUCAUUUCACAUCAUUUUCGAUCCAGAUUGAGUUGGCACUAUUUGCUCUCGCUUGACGUUAGACAAACAUUUACUGUACCGGAUUGAUAUAUUUAACUUUCCACUUUUCACUCACCUUUGCGGUUUACAAAACACUUGAAAAAAGCGCAAGGGGUUUAUCAAUUCGAACGUCUUUAUAUCAAACCCAUGAAAUGUAACGUUUCAGUUCUGUUGUAAACUGGACUGUGUACUUAUUUUAUUAUAAACUUACCUUCCAGACAUAUGGUUUAUAAAAGAUAAGAAUGUACCCAUGUAAAACUGUUUUAAUAUCAUAUUUCGAGACUUUCAAAUUGCAUUAUCAUAACCAUAUGUUAGUCUGUAUUCAUCUCUUUUCUCGGAGCAGUCGGUGGUUAUUGGUUUGGUACUCUUUAAUAUUCAUGUUAAUUCCGUUUAGCCUUUAAAGCACAGCACUGAUGGAGAAAACCUGGUUGAAAACGUAUUUAAGUAACAAAGGUGGAUAGCUAGCUGCCAUGACACUUUUGACACUAACUCUCUCCCGUAUAUGGACAUGUUAGUGUAAAAAAUGUCUGGAUGCUAAACCCCUUGAAGGUUCUGUUAAAAAAUCAAGAUUAACAUGUUGUCACAUUUCCGCUUGCAAGUCCUGAUUUUUUUUUAUAGUGAUACUUGUUUUAUAAUGGGUUUGAUAUUCAUAUAAUUUAGUUGCUAUUAAUUCGUCCUUGUAUCUCUGAAAUACUAAUACUUAAUUUGACUUUAGUAUUUGUAAGCUUGUUUGAAAAUGUACUAAAAGUGCAUAGAUGUCAGGCAAUUUUCAGUUGUCACUGUUGUAUAUAAGUUCCAAAAUAGUAAUUUGUUACAGUUUGUCAGAGACACUGUUUCUCUUCAUAUACGUAAUGUGCAACGUGUAAUUCUACCUUUCAGUCAUUAGGACUAUUAUUCCAAAAGCAAUACUAUUUUACGUAACACAAUAGUGUUACUGCAAUUAAAAAAAGCCAUUCUACGAUCAUAAAUGGAAAUUAUUACUCAUUUGAUUCCACCACAUUAGGCACAUAAGCAAUCUUUGUUAUCUAACAUCAUGAAAUCGUGUUGUAUGCCUUUCAAUAAUUAAUAAAAACAGCAGUUGUUGGUUGCAAUUCAAUCAAAGGUAAUAAGUGGAACUUAAUAUAGUCGAUCAAAUGGGUUCUUAACUAGUUAUACAUAUAACAGCUGAAUGGAUGAAACAAUUCAUUUGGUUUUUGUGUCAAUCUCACAUUACUAUGAGAAUUUAUUCAUGAGUUUGCCAACUAUUGUAAUGACAUAAUUAUAACGUUAAACAAUAUUUCAUACAGAUGAUUAAACGACGAAUUAUAGCUUUAAGUUGUAUUUUAGUCACAACCAAAUUUUAUAAAAAAAAAUCAUUUGGAGACUGAAACCGCACAAAAAAAUGCAAAUUAGCAUUAUACAAAUUAUUCAUUCAACUUUUUCAUGAAUUGAAAUAUCCCAUUCCUGCAAUUAACUAUUUUAAAUGAAACACAAUUUGUUAGCACACAAUAUUUGAUUUUUAUUUAUUUUUACUUAUAUUAUUUUAAUAACUUAGAACAAUCGUACACUUUGUAGUCCCUUCGAAUAGAUAAGACAUUGUAAAUCUGUCUUCACCUUCGUAGUUACUUGGCCCUUUCAACGUAGAUUGAUGAUAAGGGCUAUUGUUAUAUUGUUAAAUGAUCGCGACGUAAAUGUAAAUGUGAGAUGAAACUAACGUUAAUUAUUUUAUUUUGAGCUUGAAACAAAAGUGAAAUAUGUCUUUGAUUGCUUUUUUUCAGAAUUGAAAUUCUGUACAAAUUUGGAUAAGCAAGACCAUAUACCCAUUCAAUGUUAAUGACAUGACUUUAUAAAAUAUCUUCUCAAUUGUUGUCACUGCUUUUAGUCUGCAUUUCAAAACAUUGGGUGACAAGCUUUCAUUUGAGCAGGUUAAAAACGUAUAGCUUUUAUCGGUGACUGUAAAAUUUGAAAACAUCACGUUACUAAUUCAACGCUUCCUAAGCGCUUUUCUGUAUGCCAACAUUUACAUGUAUUCAUCAUAAAAUGUAACUUGUGUUCAAAAACAUAAGUACUAUUUGCAGUCGUAAAUACAAGGAAUUUUAUGCGAUUUUCUAACAAGUUAGAGGUUUGGCUAGCUAUAAAACCAGGUUUAAUCUACAAUUGUUUAACAGAAGCAAAUAACUGUACCAAGUCAUGAAUGUGACAGUUGUUUACCACUUAUUUGAUGUUUUUGGGCUUUCGAUAUUGCCUUUUGUUAAGGGACUUUCUGUUUUGAAUUUUCCAUGGAGUAUGGAGUCUGGUGUUUUCGUUAUUUUACUUUAAGUAACAAUUAAUCAGAUAUCUUGUCUCUUAUCAAUAAAUGAGACUUUUUAAAAUCCGCUGAUUAGUCUGUCGUGAUGGAAUGAAAAGUGAUUUAGAUUUUGAUCAUUUUUAUUAUCGGAUUACUAGUGCAAAAUUAUGUUUUCAAUUUGACACAUUCACUAUCUGUCUUUAGUCUUAGCAUUAGGGACAUUAUCCUUGUCAUCUUUUAGUCUGAUAUUGACAAUAUAAGUCUGGUUAUCCAUUUAUUGAAUUAGUAAAAUCAAUACCUAUGUUGACAGUUUCCAUCUAGAAAUUAGAGCAUCUUACCAUUUUGUUAAUAAAUUUUCCACCAGAUAUACAAAUGAAUGCAGCCAUCCAUAUAUUUUUUUCUAUUCUUCUAAUCAUAUGUUAUAAUUGAAAUGUAGAACAAAAUGGAACGUAAAAUUUCUUAAUCUGUAAACAACGAUACAAUGUUAAAGACGUUAAUGCGUCAUAACUUUCUAGCUCGUCACCAAACCCCAUUUGGUUUUGAAUAAAUAUAAACUUUUUUUGAUAACCAAAAGAACAAAAAUCAUUUAUGAAAAAUAUACUUUUUAUUAUUAUUAAGGUCUUUCCUUUUUCAAAAGGGAAAGACCUUACUGUAUUUCUUCUGUUUAUUAUUAUUAUUAUUAUUAUUAUUAUUAUUAUUAUUUAUUAUUAUUAUUUUUAUUUUUUAUUAUUUUCCCAACUUUGACAAAUUUAUCCGCGUUAACCGUAAGAAGUGUCGCUUUUCAUGUUCACACUUUGUAUCGGUGUCAUGAAUACCUAUCCGGAACUCACCCUGUGAGUCGAAAUAUUUUGUCGGUUCGGAGUAAUCCCUCCGAAACCCAAAAACCUUGUUACCGUAACCGUAAUAGGUAGAUAAAAACGAAGGGUGAAAUUUGUUCAGGACCAGACCCUGGUUCUUCGUCACAUUUGGAUCGAAAGGAUUCAACGACUCAUUGGUAGGGUUAUGCCCCUAUGAAAAUUAACCGGUGUCGGUUGGCCACCAAAACUCAGAAACCGUAAGUCGUAGACACCUAGGAUCUUCACCAUUCAUCAUCAAUUCAUGUGACUUUGAAAAAUACCUCAAGGUCAAAUGUGUAUGUUGACCUUGACCUUUAUAAAAUGUUUUUAAGGUUGACCUUGACCUUUGACCUUUCAACUUUUUAGUCGAUAUCUCAAAAACGGUUAAUCUACGAAUAGUAAACAGUGAAAAAUGUUUAGGUGACUGAGGCACAACUUUUUUACAUUUUGACCGGAAGGAUUUGACAUAUUCUUAAGGGGCAUAACCGCUGAUAGCGGUUUCUGAAAUGGUAAAAUUAGCUUUAACUCUUGAACCCAUGGGGUCUUUUACAAUGACAUUGUGGACCAAUGACCUUCACAAAGGUUACAACGUCAAAAGUCAAGGUCAUGCCCAAAUUAUCGAAUUGUUUUUUGUCAUUUUUUAACGGUUUUAUGUGUGUUUGAGAGCUUUUCAAUGCAUUCUACGCCUAUUGGAACAUGUACUUUACAUUUCGAAAAGGAAAGACCUCUCAAUUGUUCAAAAACAAUUGACAUUUUAAUUAUUACUAUUAUUAUUAUUAAUGUAUUUGCUAACAGCAGAACCUUGAAAUUUCAAAUAGAUGACGAUGUAUAAUAUCAUUACAACAAAAUAUAGUACAAUGAUUAACAUAUGAUUUGCUUAAUAACUUAUGUUUCACUGUGAUUGUUUAAACGGCUUUCUGUGGUAUUUGUUUGAACAGUUAUUCAUCUAUUGACUUUGAUCGUGAGAUUACUUUUAAACUUGUGAUGGUUAAACUCUAUAUUCAGGCGUACAAAAAAUCAAUGGAACGGAUGACAGUAUGUGCUUGAUUGAUUGGUGGUUGCUUUAUGCCACAUUAGCACAAGAAGGCUAUAUUGAUGCGAUACAAAAAAUUACAAAAAAAGUUAACAUUUAUAAAUAUUUAAUGCAUUUUCUUUUUUAUAAGUAUUUAAUGCAUUUUCUUUUCACUAUUUGAUUUAUGUGUACACUGGGGUCUAGUUCACACAACAUUACCACCCUGAUAUUGACACAGUCGAAAACAAAAUGUGUAAGAAUAAUUUGCAAAUGGCGGGAAAGGGGGAUUAAUAUUAAUAAGCAAAAUCUCCCCUUUUUGUGUUCAGUUAUAAUCGUUAUCGUAUGAUAAUAAAUUACAUCUAUUCAAAAUAUACUAUGUCCAGAAUCAAUCAUAGGAACAAAUGUAAUGUUCUUAAACUUGCAUUUUCCGGAGAUAAUGGUAGAUUAAGCCUGGUUUUAUGUCAAGCCAAACCUCCCAUUUGUAUGACAAUUUUUACAGUUUCGUGCAAUUUGAAAAAUUGGGCAAGAAAUGCAAAUAGACAUAACAGUUGAAUAGAUCUUAAUUCAGCUGGAAGUCAAAUAUUAUCGCGCUUUCGAACGUGUGCUUUUGAAACACUUGCAUUUACUCAAUUUACUAAGAAAGUGAUAUUCUACUAUUCAUUACUGGAACUUUAAAUUUCUUUAACUUGACUUUUAUAUUGAACUACCUGAAUUACAGUUAAAUCUAAUCUCUUUACUUUGUUCUAAACAGAUUUGAAUUUAAACUCAGUAUUGCCCAAACUGGAGAUCAAAUUAAAUUAAUACUAAACAUUGAAUUCAAACUUCAACUAUAACACGUUCUACUAAUUUACUGGUAUCUAAUAUUUUAUGUCAAAUAUUUAUUAGUUAUACUUUUUCAGUAAACUAAACUCGGACUUAAACUUGCGCCCAAAAUCUAGUUUUAAAUAAAAAGAAAAUAUGAGUUUACAAUUGGUUUAUACAGAUUUCAAAAUAUUUCUUUGCAAUUGUAGUUUGAUUUCCAUCAUUCAAAUUAAUAAAGCCGUUCGCUUUUGACCUUUUGUUUUAUAAUUUUUUAGACUCAUAAACAAAACUUGCAAUGGAAAUGAUUAUAAUAUCAACUUUGACAAUGCAUUUAUUGAGUUUCACUAGAAUAGAACAUGUAACUCACUAACAGCAAAGAAUAAAGUAUUCCAGUUUGAAACAAAUUUCUUUAAAUUAUGUUUGCUGGUUGGUAUUGCACUGACAAGUUACAGCAAUCUACACCAGAAUUAUAUCUUCAACUGCAUGGCAUGAUUUAAUUGUUCAUCUUAAAUCAUUUCAGCCUUCUUCUUGUUUUACAAAUAAAACUAACGGGUUUCCUUGUGUAAUUGGUUUUCGAAUUGCAUAGCUCUAUAAAGAAAAGUGUUGACAAACUAUAUUAACAUUCUUGUUGCAAUUAUCUGAAAACCGCUGUUAUCAAAUGUCAAUUUGAUUGUUGCAAUAGUGUUUAACUAUAGUGGCCUUUUGUUUGCCAACAAUCAUUCGUCAUGAGCGUAAAUAUUUGAUAUAGUUUCCUUUCUCACACUCCUACAAUUUAUUAUGACCUUCAUUUAAAUUUCAAAGAAUAAGAAACAAUCUACUCUUUAGAACAAAAAUUACAUGGCACUGUUGUGCGUCACCGAUGAAAUUUAUGUAAUAAGGAAUAGAUUACCUUAGCCGUAUUUGGCACUACUUUUUAAAAUUUUGGGUCCAAAGUGCUCUUUAACUUGGUACUUGUUUGGAAUUUCUAUUUUUAUAAAUUUCUAUUUUUAUAAAUUUCCUGUUUACAAAACUUUGAAUUUUUCGAAAAACUAAGGAUUUUCUUAUCCCAGGCAUAUAUUACCUUAGAUGUAUUUGGCACAACUUUUUGGAAUUUUGGAUCCUCAAUGCUCUUCAACUUUGUACUUGUUUGGCUUUAUAAAUAAUUUGAUAUGAGCGUCACUGAUGAGUCUUAUGUAGACAAAACGCGCGUCUGGCGUACUAAAUUAUAAUCCUGGUACCUUUGAUAACUAUUUGGCUAAAUAUUAAUUUUGAUCUGAGUGUCACUGAUGAGUCUUGUGUAGACGAAACUCGCGUUUGGCGUACUAAAUUAUAAUCCUGCUACUUUUGAUAACUAAUAACACCACUGAGUCGAAGGUAUCACCAGUCCAGUAGUCAGCACUUCGGUGUUGACCUGAAUAUCAAUUAUUUGGUCAUUUUUAUAAAUUUCCUGUUACAAAACUUUGACUUUUUCGAAAAACUUUUCUUAUCCCAGGAUUGAUUACCUAACCCAUAUUUGACACAACUUUUUGGAAUUUGGGUACUCAAUGCUGUUAAAAUUUGUUCUUGUUUGGCUUUAUAACUAUUAUGAUAUGAGCGUCAGUGAUGAGUCUUUUGUAGACGAAACGCGCGUCUGGCGUGCUUAAUUAUAAUCCUGGUACCUUUGAUUACUAUUGAAUCACAAUUUUCAAGAUAAUUUGAAGUGGUUUCAAAAGUCAUUUCUAUUAAACUGUAACUUUGUAAAGUCUUAACAUUAACGACUUUGUGCAAUGUUUAUAAUCAUAAUCAGUUGAGUUGAAUAAUAUUUUUAAAAUAGAAAAAGAAAAUAUAGAAAAUAGCGCUCGGAAAGUAUGUCUGGGCAUGCAUAAAUUCUAAUGCAAUCAGUAAUCAAAAUUAAGUAAAAUGAUUAGUAAUUAUAUUCAAUUUGUUUAUCCUUUCUUGUUUGUUAAAACGGUCGGUGUAUUUGUAUUGUAUACACUGCAUUGUAUUUACAGUGAGUUGUGAGGUUAGGGGAUUUGUGUUUUAUUUUCAUGCGCGCCAAGCAAUUUUAAGUCCUUCUUGUAACUUAUUGUGUUCUGUCAUUCAUAAAUACAAAAAUAAAUGUUUGUAUGCACAUGAAUACAUGUUUAAUCAAUUGAUGUUAUUUCUAACUUUUGGUGUCAAUGCAUAAAACUUAUUCACGAUGUUUUUACUUCCAAUUUGCUUAGAAGCAGAAAUCAUCUGGGAUUGGUGUGUAAAUCUUGUAUAGUGAUAUAAACUAUAAGAUUCUAUUUUAUUUGUUUAAAGCAUUCAUAUUAAUAUCAAUACCAUUUUAUUCUUUUAUCUUUCUUCAAAGUUAAUAAUAUCGCGUGUUUUUACUUUAGAUUUAAUGUGGAUUUACAUCUUAAUGCGGUUUCUCUACGAUGAUUGAAUAAAACAUAUCUGCCACUGACAUUUUGAAAACUAUUCUAUUACAACAGACAACAUAUCUGAGCAUAUAUUGACAACGCAUUGGAAUUGUUCUAUGCUAUUUUAUUUGAAAUACAUGCUUAUAAUAUGGAACAGAAAAUACAGUAAAAAUAAACUAUCAAUAGCAAAGAAAGAAGUUAGCUUUUUCCCCGUAUGGUUUAUAAAAACACCAAAAACUAUUUUAUAUCCCAUAAAACUUAAAGAAUUAGAGAUAAAGGAUACAACAGAUACAGUUAAGUCUGCCUCAUAUCUUGAAAAACAUCUAGAAAUUGACCAUGAAGGUCGUUUGAUAAAUAAAACUUUAAGACAAAACAGAUGAUUUCAGAUUCCCAGCCAACACGACGGUUGUCACAUGUGGACUAGGAUCUGCUUACCCUUCAUGAGCACCUGCGGUAACCCAAUGUUUUCAUAGGGUUCGGGUUGCUCUGUCUUUAGAUUUCUUUGUUGUGUCUUGUUUACUAUUGUUUGGCUAUUGGUCGUUUUCUUGUUUUAGCCAUGGCCUUGUCAGUUUAUUUACCACGUUCGAGUUUGGAUGUUCCUCUGGGCAUCUUUAACCUAUCUUUUAUAAUGCUAUACAUACAAAAAUGUAUUGAUACUAAUUCCAUUUUGUUCAGUUUCAGACUGAAUUUAAAUUUUAAGAAACACUUUGAAACACUUUAGAGUCUUCUGUUCAUAAAAAACACAAUAAAAGAACCAAUUUGUCAAUUCCCAAUUCAGGAGUAUCAAUAGUUGUUUGUAGUUAAUCAUGACUUGGAGGUGUAAUUGCAAUUAAAUUGAUCGGAAGUAAAUUUUACAGUAGCUAUGAUAUGAUUAAUAGGUUUCAAUCGGCAGGAUUUACAAUAUUGUUGCUUCACUAUAGAUCACUUUAAUUUCCCAUGUGAAAUGCAAACAACACUACUGCGGAUUUUGAUUGAAUUUUAUAGAUUUAAAAUCAUAUUUCAAAAUUAUGAGAUUUGCACAGUAUAAUAAUUCAUGUCCAAUGCAAUACCUUCUGUUACUUUAUAUUUGGCCUUGAAAAAUAUUAAAGAUACAUAUCAACGUUGGUAUAAAAGUGUAAAGUAAGAUAUGCAAUUUUUAUUAAACCUUUUCGCCAUGUAUAUCCAUGUCGUUGGAAUUUUUUUUUUUGAAGUGAUAUAGCAUGUAAAAUCGAUAAUAAGGGCAAUGUUUUGUAUUUGCAGUUGAAUACUUGAAUGACCAGUGAGUAUAAUGAGAGAAAUGCCUGACAUAAAAAAGAGUGCAUUUCUGAACAAGUAUUCUACAGAACUGGAUUGAUAUUGCAUCUGAUUCCUUCCAUUUCCGAUUAAAGUUAAAGUCAUUUGCAUGACUCACCUGACAAGCGACGUCCCGCUGAUGCAAGUUGUUUUAAUCGGAAAUAAGACACAAUCGGUAGAAUUACAGAGCACACGACUAUACUGAUAGUGUUGUUGCUUAUAGGAACAAUGUUUAACAUGGAGAUAAUAUCAGUGAAGUAGAAGUGUUCUUUCAAACGUUUUAUGGUCGCCAUCAUUAUUUGGUUGCCCUUUAUGGAAUAUUUGUGUUUUCGAUUUUGUUCGGUUGUGUCAUCCCCGAAUGGGACUUAUUACCAAAUUUGAACUAUCAUCAGUAACGAUGAGCUACACAACAGCCUGUUAUAUACGCCUAUUUUAUUGUUUUUGUCAUCCUUUUGGAACAUUCUUCAGAUCUAAUUUUCUUAAAUGUGUGUGUAAACUUAUGGAUGUGGUUCAUACAUAUAUACAUGUAUUCAUCCACACGACACAAUUUCUGUUUCCAAUUCAGUCUGAUUUUGGAAACAAAUUAUAACUUUAAAAUGUCUACUAGUAUCUUUUAUAAGACAAAAAUAUUUUUAAAAGCAGAAAGUGAGAUAAUUGAUAUAACCAUAACUAAUUAUAUACGAAAUAUUUAAUAAAAAUGAAGAUAUCUAUUAAAUCUACGAAAACUUUGCUGUAAUUACAACAACGCAUACAAUAAGUGUAAUAACGUUUCUUGUCGCUAAUUUUAGUAACAUCGUCAUGCUAUAGUCUGAUGUUAAUAAUUUAUAAGCCCGGUUAUCCCUUUAUGAGUUAAAGUAAUUAAUGAAAGUGUUGACAGUGUAACAAUUCAGUCAUUUUUCGUGGGCUGUCCACGGGUCAUAUAAAGUGGUAUCUAUUUAGUGGUAGAAAAUAAUUGUAAAACCCGUUUUUCUCUCCUUGAUACGCCUAUCUCAAUUAAACACAAACAGACACACGUACAUUUCAGCACGAGGAAAGCUAAGAAAAAUAUACAGCAAAUCCAGUAUAAAAUGACUGUAAAAAAGAUAUCAAAAUGUUCUAGCUCAAUAUCACAGUUGAACACUCCAUAUGGACGAUUAGCUUGAUUUUAAGAUACUACCGUAAACUGUUACUGUUAAACAAUAUUGCUUAUCUACUGACAAAUUAUUUUGAGCCCACAUGCUGGAUGUUUUUAAGUUUCUUAAAUUAUUUCCCCCUGUUAUACCAGUAUUUUAGGUUAGAUGAAAACGUUCAUACACAUUAUAAAUCCCGUCACAGACUCAACUAGAUAUAGGAAGAUGUGGUAUGAGUGCCAAUGAAACAACUCUCCAUCCAAAUAACAAUUUAUAAAAGUAAACCAUUAUGGGUCAAUGCACAGCCUUCAACACGGAGCCUUGGCUCACACAGAACAGCAAGCUAUAAAGGGCCCCAAAAAUUACUAGUGUAAAACCAUUCAAACUGCAUUUGUUGCGACCAUUUCCGGAAUUCUUUUUUGAUUUUUGUUUAUCUUUAUAGACUAUAAGUCAACAGUGUUCUCUUGUCUAGCAAUAUCAGGAAACAAUUUUAAGUCUGAUAUUUUCCAGGAAUCUUGCAUGAAAACCAAUUAAUAAAACACUGUUUUCCAGUUACGAAAAAGUCGUAUUAUAUAAAGUGGAAGCAGGUGCCCUUUGUCUGUCUGAUUAAUCUCCUUUUCAAAAUUGUUACGUGUAAAAGCAUAAAAAUCAUUGAUGUCUACUUUAUUAUAAUUUUACAAAACAAAUUAGAUCAGUCCCACUUUAUAUGCAUUUGAUAUUAUAUUGAAAUACGAUAGAAAUUCAAAUUAGUUUCAUGUUAAAAGACAAAAAAGUAAAACAAAUCGGCCGCCUUUACAUUCAUUAUUUUCAAUAUGAUAUUAAUAUCUUUUGAGUUUGAUAUUUACAAAACAUGUUGUAGUGGUCAGUUCUUUGUGUGUUCUUCAUGAACAUAUCGAAAGAUGAUAUUACAUAAGAAGGUUAAAACUGUCAAAUACUGUAGACAUGGUAUUUUAUUAUAUAAAUAUUAAACAGUGCAAUGAUUCUGAUUUUAGAAAAAGACUGUAUUAAGUAUUUCCCUACAUGAUGGCCAUCAUUAAACAUACGGGACCAAAGUUAAGCUUUUGUAUUUCGUUCAUCUAAUUGAUUAAUGCAUAAAAGGGUUUCUGUUACCGUCACUAAUCAUGAAUCAAAUCAGUUGAUAACAUAAUUUAUCAAAACAAUAUGUUACUCAGAUCAGCCAUAAAGGAAUACAACAAUGGUCAUUAGGUGUGGAUGGUCAAUACAUUAUGUAUUAAUGAAACUGGUAGUUUAAUAAUAGUUAUAAUAAACAUUGCUUUUGAAAUAAUAUGGAGCCAUAAUGUCCGUUGCUGAAACAAUGCAUACAAAUAUUUUGUUUGAAAUCAUGAAGAAUGAAAGUUAGGAAUUGUGAAAUGAUUGUCAAUAUGUAAGCAAUAAUUAAAAAAAAAAAAAAAUAAAGGACACAAGUUAUGUAAAACAAUAUCCGAGAAACAAAUAUAACAGACAAUAACAAAAGGUCAACCACUGAACUACAGGUUUCUAACUUGGGACAUGCAAAUAUGAAAUUCGGUUAGCAACACAUGAUUGUGAGCGACCAAACCUCCCCUUAAAUGGGAGAAUAGUGAAAUAGCAUAAUGAUAUAAAAACGAUAUAUUGGUACUCGGAGAUACAGAAAUCCAGGCCAAAACAAGAAAUAAUUAUAAUAAAUUAUAUUUCCCCGGAAAAAUACUAAAUAAAUACACACACAACGGAUUGAGUGGGCCAAUAAUUUUAGAAGAAACAUUUAUUCUUAACACAGACGAAAACAAAAUACUCCCUGCUUUAAUUAUAAGUCAGUCCAAUCAUAUCUAAUACUCAUGUCAUAUUUAUUGCAGCUAAAAUUGAAACGGCUAGCGCGUGGUGAUGACGAACUUUAGUCUUAAUCCUUUGAUUGCCUCUUUAUAAGUUCUUAACUCAUAUAUAAUUAUAUUUUUCCUUGUGAACCUGCCAUUUCUAUGUGGAAGCAUUCCAACAUAACCUAUAUUUACAGUUACAUAUGUUCUGGUUUAUAUAGUAUUCUAGGGCUUGCAUUUCAUAAAACAAUUUCAAUUUAACCGUUUGCUACCUGGUAGAAAACAUAAACGUUUCAUCCAUUUUGUUUUUAUUCAGAAAACAAUAUUUGCUUCUUUCCGGUAUUACCAAACAGCUUUAUCUUCCGCCUGCUUUUAAACAGACAGUCAGAUAUAAAUUUUAAGUCAAGCUUUAGAGAAGUGGUAGUUCUAUUCUCGUUUUAUCUUAUUUUGAAAAAGAAAUCGUAUUCGAUUGAACUAUAGUAGAAAAUAACAUACAAUAAUGGAAAAUCCUAUGAAAUUAUUCCGUUAAUAUUCCAUGAACUAGUCCUUUUAUUCUCAGAAGACAAAUAAAAAUACAAAAUCUUCAGUUAGGACUUAUGAAUUUAGUUACGUAACUCAAUAUUGAUUUUAAUCACUAGGGGUUUUAAUUGUGUUGCGUCAUUUUCGCAGCACGGCUUAUAAUUGCAUUUAAUGUCUUUCAUUACCGGAAAUUUGUUGCAAGUAAAUGGUUGUCAUAGAAAGAGUUGUGAAAUUGUCAAACGUUUGAUGUAAGAUCUUAUGAUCCUAUACUUGUAUGAAAACAAAUAAAACACAUCGACUUUUAAUUUUUAUACACAUUUAUAGGACGGAAGAAGAACACAAAACAUUAUAAAAAGUCUUCACCUGCAGCCAAGAGAAAUAAUGAGUGAUAACACACCUGAUCAAAUUCCUGAAAUGUAAAAGGAAAUUGCCAAAGUUUCAUUUAGGAAAUAGGUUAUAUUGCAAACGUAUAACGUUUUUUUCUGAUUUAUUUGUGCUAAACAGUGUAAACUAUGUCGUUUUUCAAUUUGUAAGUCAAUAACUAACUUUGAAAUCGGCUGUUUAGAAAUACAGUAUUUUACAAAUAUUCAAAACUAUUUCUUAUUCAAAAUCUAUUCUACAAAAAUUUGUAUUCAGAAUAAAGAUAAUUAAAAAGUAAAAUCACAAAAAUACUGAUCUCAGAGGAAAAUCUAAUCGGAAAGUCAAAUGACAAAACACAUCAAAAACGAAUGGACAAGAACUGUCAUAUAUGACUUGGUACAGGCAUUUUCAAAUGUAGAAAAUGGUGGAUUAAACCUGGUUUUAAAGCGCUAAACCUCUCACUUUGAUGACAGUCUCAUCAAAUUCCGUAAUAUUUACAAUGAUGCGUGAACUAAACAGACAUAAUAAAUAAAAUAGUCAAAAUAUGGAUACAAGGCAAUUUAUCAUUGUGUAAUGCAGUUACGAAAGUCAAUGAAUAGAAUUGCAAGGAACUUACUCUUUAUGUAUUGAAAAUGUCAAGAAAUACAUGGUAAAUGGGAGGGGAUUUCAAUUAUUCUAACUGAUGGACAAAGAGAUAUUUAAGUUAAACAUGCGGUAGAACAGUAGAUACAUCGGACUAGCGGUUUCUGAGAUCUUCCGCGGACAAGUUCAAGUGGGACAAACUUGAAAAGGAGAGAGAACAAGAUUAAUAAGAUUAAAGGGGCACUAGCAACGAGAUAGAUAAAAAAUAGUAUGAUUUUUUGGUUCAAUCUUUAAUGAAAGUGUAAAAGUGAACUAAUAAUUCGCUUUAAGAAUCCAGUAUGGUUCAAUUUUGUCAAAUUAAUCUAAAAAACAUUAAUGCAACUUAAAUGUGAAUAAUUCAGCCUCAUUUGAUCCAUAUACAAUUAUAUCAAUUUAACCCCUUUGCUAGAGAUGAAUAACUCAUGCAUUGUGCGUUUUAAGUUAUUUAAAAGAAAAGAAUGUCAACAUUGAAAGUUAAACAAAGGUAAAUCAUUUGAUUUACUAAUUCAAUCCACGAAAAAAUCAUUCUCAUAAAGGUAAAACGGUGAUUGACAUUUAUUUUGAACGGACCUAAAAAAAAUCCAUUUACACGAGUUCACUUUCCAUUUAUAUCCACAAUUAUGUUUAUAUCGCUUAUAUGACCAUCGGAGAUUUUCGGAGGUCAACUUGAAAGUUAAUUAAAUGGCGUCAAAACUGAAAUACACACGAAACGAAGCUACAUAUUAUAGAACCCAUGUCCUGUAAAUAGUUUAUUUCAAACUUUUUAUAAUUUGGAUAAAUGUUUCACAUGGUUAUAACUCGAAUAUAAGAUUUUGAGUAAAUCGGUGAACAUGAAUUUUACAGCUAGUGCCCCUUUAAAGAACUGAGGAAAACAAUGUCUCCAAAAUUCGUUGUCGAGGGAUGAUAUGCAUAUGCUUCAUAUUAUCUUAAAAAUUAUCAAAUGAAGAAGAAGAGAAAACUCUGACCAAUAUUGUAUAUGCGAGACUAAAUGAUCCUUUGACAGUUAACAACCCACAUGGAUACUAAGUCUGACAAAACGUAUGGUAUGUCAGCACCAGUGGUUGCCUAAAUCUUCUACUUCCACUAUAAUUGUAGAAUCAAGAAUAAUCCAUGUUUCCAUUGUUAGCUUCACCCUACUCAACUCUUCAUAAAAGUACGUAUUGCAGGUUUAUGAUGCAAAAUACGUUAACCCUGCCUGAAUAGCUUUGCCCGGAAAUAACCGACGCAUAAAUAAACCAACCAACGUUGAUAAGUUUAAACUGAACUUAUCAAGUCAUCUUCCGGUUUUAUGAUGAAACAAAGAAAACACAAUUGUUUCUAUUCUGCAGAAUACACAAAUAAAACCCCAAAAAAUCGAUUAUCAGAUUGUAAUUGACAGAUCAACUUGUAGAUGAUAUUUUACAAUGUCAAUAUAUAGACAACCUGCUUAUUUAAUAUCUAAUCGUUAAUGGUCCCAAUACAUGUAAAUAUGUCCAGAGAAUAAAAAAGCUGCCGUUAUCUAUGAACUUAUUUGUUCCAAUAGAUAUGGUAAUCCACUUAAUCUGGCUUUGUACUCCCAUAAUCGACUGAACAAAUCCCUACUGGCCUUGCUACAGCUUUCAGGCUCUUAAUUUAAUUGUAUGAAAGCAUAAGAGGAUACAAAUACAAUAAAAUAAUGAUGACAUACUUAAGUUAAACAUAUUUUAUUGUCAAAACUUUCAAAAAUGACAGUUUAUAAAAUACUUACAUGGUGUUCUCCAAGAAUGGGAGGUGAUUUUUCUGACUUUUUUUUUUAAAAAAAAUACGCAUCGACCUGGGUUUUUUGUAAGAUGAAAAUAAGCCUAAAAUAUUAUUUCAAUGUGUUUUUUUUUUAUAUAAAGGUCAAUGUAACAUAGAGUAAUAGACUGUUAUAAGCACGUAGUUUUUAUGCACUUAUCACAAACAAAUGACACAUUUCAGUUGUUCUUUGAAAUGUAUGUCAUUUGAAAAAUGUUNNNNNNNNNNNNNNNNNNNNNNNNNNNNNNNNNNNNNNNNNNNNNNNNNNNNNNNNNNNNNNNNNNNNNNNNNNNNNNNNNNNNNNNNNNNNNNNNNNNNNNNNNNNNNNNNNNNNNNNNNNNNNNNNNNNNNNNNNNNNNNNNNNNNNNNNNNNNNNNNNNNNNNNNNNNNNNNNNNNNNNNNNNNNNNNNNNNNNNNNNNNNNNNNNNNNNNNNNNNNNNNNNNNNNNNNNNNNNNNNNNNNNNNNNNNNNNNNNNNNNNNNNNNNNNNNNNNNNNNNNNNNNNNNNNNNNNNNNNNNNNNNNNNNNNNNNNNNNNNNNNNNNNNNNNNNNNNNNNNNNNNNNNNNNNNNNNNNNNNNNNNNNNNNNNNNNNNNNNNNNNNNNNNNNNNNNNNNNNNNNNNNNNNNNNNNNNNNNNNNNNNNNNNNNNNNNNNNNNNNNNNNNNNNNNNNNNNNNNNNNNNNNNNNNNNNNNNNNNNNNNNNNNNNNNNNNNNNNNNNNNNNNNNNNNNNNNNNNNNNNNNNNNNNNNNNNNNNNNNNNNNNNNNNNNNNNNNNNNNNNNNNNNNNNNNNNNNNNNNNNNNNNNNNNNNNNNNNNNNNNNNNNNNNNNNNNNNNNNNNNNNNNNNNNNNNNNNNNNNNNNNNNNNNNNNNNNNNNNNNNNNNNNNNNNNNNNNNNNNNNNNNNNNNNNNNNNNNNNNNNNNNNNNNNNNNNNNNNNNNNNNNNNNNNNNNNNNNNNNNNNNNNNNNNNNNNNNNNNNNNNNNNNNNNNNNNNNNNNNNNNNNNNNNNNNNNNNNNNNNNNNNNNNNNNNNNNNNNNNNNNNNNNNNNNNNNNNNNNNNNNNNNNNNNNNNNNNNNNNNNNNNNNNNNNNNNNNNNNNNNNNNNNNNNNNNNNNNNNNNNNNNNNNNNNNNNNNNNNNNNNNNNNNNNNNNNNNNNNNNNNNNNNNNNNNNNNNNNNNNNNNNNNNNNNNNNNNNNNNNNNNNNNNNNNNNNNNNNNNNGAAUUUAAUACGAAUAUCAGCGAAUCUUUUGCAUUAUUAAUCUUUGAAUUUAUAAUGAUCUCGUAUUCUAUUUAGGACAAAGUUUUUUUUUAAUCCGAAAUGAAAAUGAUCUUCAACUUUUAUACCAAGAACAAAAAAUAUAUCAUGCAUUGAUGAUAAUAUGGUGCUACCAUUUAUGAAAUUUGUAAUUGUGGCACUGAUUUGAAAUUCAGCAUUGCCGUAAUCAAUGAAAUAUGAUAUCCAACAUGAAACACAUGAAUAGAAAAGACAUUUUUGAAAUUGGUUAAUCGUUUAAUUAAUAGAUAAUAACAUAAAAGUAUAAAUCCUAAAUUUGCGACUGCAGCAGCCUCAGUUACGGAUCUUCCCUAAAAAUCAAAAGAUAUACGGUUCAUUUUAGAUGUGCAAUUGCGUUUGCUUUGUAUGAUGUGUUCAUGCACCGUGUACAAUGAAAUAGUGAACAUAAUUCAACUUAUCUUUUUAAUUCAGCAAAAUUAGUCAUUUAAUUAUAGAUUAUCUCGUUUAAGUAAGAUUUUCUCCUCAACGAUGCUUAAAAAAUACGUUGUGUUUUCACUUAUCAUUUCAUAAUUGGUACAUAUGAUAAUUUUUCUUUGCUAAAGUAUCUUUUUUACUUUAAAGAAUUGCCAUUUGUUGCUAGUAUUCAAACCAAUGUUUUACUUCCUUUAGACAAAAACAGCUUUUUAAAAGAUGUUAUUUGGUUUUCAUGCUCAGAUCAGAAUGUACAUGUUUUAUGCCAACCAAUGAUAUAACUUGAAGUUUUGCCAAUGAUAUAUUACACGAGUCUUGAAAAGUGGAAUACUAUAUAUACCCUUAGGCUUGGUGACACAUCACGCACUUGGUCGUAAUUGUAUCAUCACUGACAUAAUUGACAAAAUGUCUCUAGUUCUAAGGUAAAACGUGCAAUUUCUAGUUUGAAAAACAGUAUCAACUGUUUAAUACUUCUUAUAUAAAUCUUAAAUGUAUAUUAGUAUUUUCAAUUUUGUCUUGAAGAUUGUUUCAAUAUUCCGUAACAUGCUCAGUAAAAUUAAUGAUACAUACUUGCCGAUGUUUUCAUUUCUAUAUAUUUAAAAUGCAUUCUAGCAUACAUGCUUUUUUGAUGUAGCGUUGCUGUUGCAUUGGUUAUUUUCUUCUCUCUUUGUAUUUGUACUUAUGGGGAAAAAACGUCGAUAAAUCAAACAGAUCUUAAGUUUUAUAUCCAUUGACAUCUUCUCAUAAAACUAGAUACUUAAAGUACACAUUUGUCAAUAUCCAUUUCAAGCAGAACAAUGUUUGCUUAAGCGCAGCUUGAAGGCUCAAUAGCAAUUUAACUGAACUGACAACAGAAAUAAAUGACAUUGAAGAAAAAUGUUAUGAAUGGGUCAACAAAUGGUAAAGAUACUUUGCAAUACCAUUAAGUCCUGCACAUUUCACGCUAAUAUAUAUCUCAAGCUGAUUUCCCAUGUGAAAUACAGACAAUAAAAGCCAGGGAUUUGUCAUGACUUUUAUAGAUUCUGAGAGCAAAUAUUAAGCAUUGUUAGUUUCAAUUUUUGUGUGAACUUCUGAAGUGAAGAUCUGUACGUCGCCAAACAAUUUAAUGAUCCUAGAAUUAUUGCAGUUUUAUAAUUAGAUCUUGAUGGAGUUGGUUUUUUUAGGCAGUUGAAAAUUAGAACUUGCAUGCAAAUGAACAGCUCGAUACUUUAUUUAUCUAUACUUUAAAAUUGUAAUGACAAUACUUGAGGUCUGCUGGUAUAAUUAGUUUUAGAUCAAUAUCAUAUUACUGAGGUUGGCUUCUUACCUUAGUUUUCAUUUAUUAAUACUUUAAGAUGCAUAAUGCUAUAGAUUUAAUUUUGAAUUUCGCUCCAAUAUCUUUUGCCACUCUGUGACAUUUUUACAUGUGAUAUAUGUUUGUUUUGUUCACACAUUGUUGUCAAUACAAUGGAAUUUUAUGAAACUGUCAUACAAGUGGUUAAUAUAUUAAAUUAUCAAAAACUACCUAUACAAUCGGGUUUAAUCCAUCAUCUUUUACAUAAAAAAAAAAAUGCCUGCACCAAGUUAUGAUUAAGACAUUUGUUAUUCAAUCGUUUGAUGUUUUGAGCUUUAGAUUUUGACAUCUGUUAAAGGACUUUCCGUUUUCAAUUUUCCUCGACUCGGUAUUUUUUAGAUUUACUCUUUUAUAUAAUCAUAUUCACUUUCGGGAAUGUGAUGUUAUGAUAUAUUACAAUCGGUAUUUCCAUUUAGGUAUAUAAGCUAUGUAAAAUCUGAGUUAAACAAGCCUGCAUGUAAUGUAAAGUUCAAUAGACACAACAGCGAACAGUUACAUAAACAUUCAAGCUAUUACUUUAUACUUGUAAUGUAAUUUAGAAAGUAUUCGUGUUAUUGUUGUAUUUGAACAUGAUUCCUUCUUUUCUUAAUGAAUAAAUCUGAAAUGUGAUUGACAUUAAGACAAUUUCCAUAAUGGAGAGCAGUCUUUUAGUAAUCGACAAAUUAAAGUAAAGGAGAAAACAAUUGUUAUGUUGUAUGACCAAGAGGGUUGUAUAGUUCUAUAGUUGUCUCAGUGUGGUAUAACUGCCCACUCGCGGUGUCACUGUUUUCCACAUUACUUCAAUAACUUCAUCAUUGUUAUAAUCGAUGAGUCUUUCUUUAAUGUAGGAAAGUGUACAUUGUUAUUUCAAAAUGAUAAAUUUACAAAAAAUCAACGAAAGGUUAUGCUUAUUAUCUAUCUCUAUCUCAAAUAGCCUUUCAGGAAAAGGUUUAGUAUAGUAUUGUUUCACGUAUUGUAACAUUAAGAGAUAUUCAAGUGCCUAUAUGUAUUUGUGUGCAUAGUGAUGUCAUAAAUUUAAACGAACAUAUCAAUGCAUCAUUAGUAAAUUAUUAAAUCCGGGAUUAAAACAAUUAGUGAAAUCUCUCAUAGACGAAAUAUUUCAUUAUUAAAUUUGGCUGUCUGCAUAAAACCGGUAUUUCACAUUCUAAAUCUUAAUGUGAUAUUGCAACGAAUGCCACAUGCGGAGCAGGAUAUGCUAACCCUUCCAAGGCACCUGAGAUCACCCCCAGUUUUGGUGGGGUUUGUGUUGCUUAGUCUUUAGUUUUCUAUGUUGUGUCUUUUGUACUAUUAUGUGUCUGUUUGUCUUUUAUUUUUUUAGCCAUGGCGUUGUCAGUUUAUUUUCUAUCUAUGAGUUUGACUAUCCCUCUGCUAUCUUUCGACCCUCUUUUGUACUAAAAGCGCGGAAAUCAGAUCCGUGGAAACUCAUCGAACCUUUAAACAAACUUAUUAGUAAAGGUUAUCUAAGUACUGUUGUAAUCCGAUCUUUGAAUAUUGUUAACAUUGGCAUUAAUACAUUAAAACAUAACUAUUUUUAAUAUUUUUUUUGAAUUGCUUUUGUGAUGUAUAAAUAUCCAUUCACGUUUUUGUAUUUAUCUAUAUAUACUAGAACACACCCGUGAUAUCGCGGGUCCGUGACUGAUUUAAAGUAUAUAACUAGGCUUAUUUUAAUAUUGGCAUUGUCAUCUGAUAAAGUCAUGCCGAUUAUAAGAUGCACAGUUUCUGCUUUCAAAAUCUUUCUGUUUGAACCCUUCGACCUGGAACUUAUCAAUUAUGGUAAUAUAAUUAUUUGGAAAACAAAAGGUCCUGGAAUGGAGUAUUUUCUAAUCAACAGCAUUGUCCUAUAUUAGUUAUAAAUAAAGUUGAAUUCUUUUAUUCGCUGUUUUACGGCAUGCUCGUAACAAAUUGAAAACGUACCUAUACGCUUAUUUUAGUCCAGAUUCGUAUUCGUAUUGUUAUCUUAGAAAGUUUACUGAUAAAAGUACUACAAUAGGGAACAAUUUGACAAUGAUUGAAUUUAGAAGGAUCAACCCUGUGAUUAUGACCCGUGUAUAUAGCAAAAUCCUAAAUACACCGUUUGGUGGUGCGCCUAUCAGAUGCGGAACGUACAGAUAAGGUAAUUGGUAACAAGUGAAUAUACUAUUGGUAUCGGUAUCGGAUUCGACCCCGAACUUGUUAAUUAUUGGCAACAUUAAUUAUGUGGAAAACAAAAGGGUCUGAAGGUGUGUAAUUUUUAAUCUACACCAUUGUCCUAUAUUAUCUGUAUAAAAAGAUGAAUUUUUUGAUUUGUCGUUUUUUCCCCAUGACGGCUGACAAAUUGGACCUCGUUAUUUUAGUAUUGUAGAUAACAGGAUACGUAUUUAUCAUAAGGUUAAAUCCGAAAGUUCCUACUGCUUGUCGAUACUUUUAUAUUGACCUUGCACAAGUCAUGUUUUCUUUGACUGUCCAUGGCGUUAAAAUACAAAACCUUGAUAUGAAUUUUAAUAGAUUCAAGUCUCUGAUGGAUGAUUUUUAAUCUUUAAUUGUUUUUGGUUUUUAACAAGCUUUCAGUAACUACGAGAACUCUCAAAUCGUUCUUUCGUGCUAAUUUGACCUGUUGACACAAUUUUUAUAGCAUUUCAAUUAUUCAUGAUUACUUAUUUUUUUGUUAUAAUUCAUCUCCCUAGUUUUAAUAUGAACCCCCUUUGAUUAAUAUUUAGUAUGACGAUAAAUUUUCACUUCUGUACACUGAACAACAAAUGUAUUUAUCUUGUUAAAAAUGUUUACUUCCGUACUGUUAACAACAAAAUUGUUAUAUUUGAAUUAACCUAUGUACUUUGUUUUAUUUAAUAUCAUUUUGUCCAAUGUUACAGUUGUAUUUUGUCACUGUCCUUACAACUUUUUUCUACCUCUGACGUCUGUGUUACACAGGCGCCUAUGUUUUAAUCUUUUUUCUGUAUUGUUUCAUAGAUCAAACUUAUUGGUUCAAUGUAUGUUUACAAUGUACUUGUUUUGUUCACACGUCUGUUUGGUCGAGUUCUAAAGGGUUAAGCCCUUUCAGUGGUUAUCUUCGUGUGUCUUUUGAAGGUAAUGUUACACUUCUGUCUAAGGUAAGAGUGAAUGUUGGCGCCUGUUUAAACGUUUAAACCCGCUGCAUUUUAAUGCACAAGUGAUGUCGUUUCUUGGUAUGGUCCAUAACCGUUUUGUUAUAUAUAUAUAUAGAUUAGACCGUUGUUUUUCCUGUUUGAUUUGUUUUACGCUAUUCAUUUUGGGGCCCCUUAUAGAUUGCUGUUCGGUGGGAGCUAUGGCACCGUGUUGAAGUCCAUACUUUGACCUAUAGUUACUGUUUAUACAUUGUGUGAAUUGAAUGGAUAUACGGUCUAAGUGGCCCUCCUACCACGUCUUCGUAUUAAGAUUGAACGUUUAAAUGUAUAUUUACGUACGCAUAGUGGUGACAAAAUAAAUAUUAUAUAAUCGCAAGCUGCGGUUUUUAUAAACUGUAUAAGAAAUGAUAGCAAGUGACUUGUUUUCAUUUCGAAUAAAUUUAAAAAAAAAACACGCAUUUUUUUUCUUAUAUUCACAGAUUUCAAAAGAUCUAUUUUAACAUUAAGAAUCCGAAAGUAAAACGUCCAAGUGACAGUUUACACACUGAAGUAUCGAUUUCGAAUAAAAAGAUAACUUUUUUAUGUUCCAAAUGAUGACCACUUUAAGAUCACCGCCACCCAUUUUUGAAUUGGUAUUGUUUGACAAAUUAAGUAUCAAAACUUAACAUAUUGCCAUGGAAACGAAGCAAAAAGUGAAUUGUUGUUUUCAUUUAUUCGUUUAAGUGAUAUUGGAUAUAAACAUAAUUUAUGGCACUUUUGAAAUAAUUUAUCGAACACGCUACAUCGUAAAACAUCUAUUAAGAAACAGUGGAGGUGGAAAAGAAUACUAAAUAGCAUUAUGAAAUAUUCAAAUUACUGAGUCUAAAUUUCAGUCUUAUGAUUCAACAUUUGUUUUAUUUAUAUUGAUUGAGAAAACCAAAUACGUUUAAAUCUUCUGCUGAUUUCGUGAAUAUAAUACUAUCUGCCGAAGUUUGUAUUCCAUUAUUAAUGUAAUAGGUGGCACCGAGGGAAAUAUUAAGUUUUAAAAUAAAAUCAAUAUAGAUUUAUAGCAUUCUGAUCGAAAAAUAAUUUCAUUUCUAUUGUAGAUCACGAUGAAGUUGCCGUUCAUGAGAAACUAUACUCCGACUUAUAUUUUUGGAGUAAUAGGGAUCAUAAUUCUUUUAGUCAAUGAUUUCAUUACAGGUAUGUUUUAAUACGUCGUAGUUGCAUUCAUUACUAUUACACAUUUUUGAAGGGAUUUUUUGUCACAGUCUUGAUUGUUUAAAAGGAACUCUUAUUUUGAAGCUUUUCGUGUAUCCCCUUUUGCACAAUUAUCAAAUAAAUACCAGUAGUUAAUAUUCAAAUCAGAGACAAUAUUUCAAGCAUUUUUCCUUGUUAAAUUCUUUGUUUUUCUUUUUGUCAAGAAACAGACAUUCAUGUUAACUUUACUCAUAAUGUAUUUAUAUAAAUAUGUUGUAAAUUCUAAGGCGGACACUAACAUAUGACCAAUCUAAUAAAUAUUAAAAAUCUACCUUAUCUUUCGUUUCUUCCUUAAUAAACUGUUGUGUUGUAAUAUAAUUUAUAACACACUCACCAUGCAUAGUAUAUCCGAAGUUUUAGGUAGUCUAAAUGUACUGAAUCUAUCCCAUUUUAUCGUGAUCGGCGAAAUAACUUAUUCUAAAGGUCAAAAGAGAAAGAAACAAACUAUUAUUUGAAGGCACUCAAGUAAAACAUGUUUACCUGUUCAUGAGUUUUACUUGCACGUGAACGUAAUACAAUAAAAUUGUUUUACUGUAUCUUUGCUAUAAUGCACCUUGUGAAAAAAAUUGCAAUUCGUUAUACGGGACGACACACACAACGACUUAAUCCACAUCAUUUUGUCCGCUUUCGGUUAUCUGCUGCACAUGAUAUGAGUAUAAAAUCCAUUGGUUUGCAACACCAAUAGGAAUAGUAGACAUACAUCUGCUAAUAACAAUAGCAAUUGUUUGUAAUUGCAAUUAGGAACAUAGAUCAUGUUGAUUGUUUUGCCGUAAGGCUACCCACUAAUAAGCGUUGAGAUAACCCUUAAAGAAAGUCAUACACAUAGAAGGUUUGUCAUUGAAAAGCCUGUUUUGAACUAAGUAUUACUUUGUCUUCCAAUUACUCGCAUAAAAGUCAUGAUUUUAACUGUAGAUGUUUGCUGUCAUUAGCAUAUCACACUUAACAAUUGCCAAUUCCCAUCAUUUAAUUUAAACGUUCAUGAAUAUAACAAUACAAAGACAAUGUUUGAUUGCCAAUGCAACAACUGUAAACCUAUCCAUUUUUACUUUUGAUCAGCAAAAUUAUUUAUCAAUCAAUGAUGACAUCUUAAUUUUAUACUUAUUUUAGAAUGAAAAUGAAAAAAAUAGCCUUCCUUUAUGAAAUAAUGUUAGAAUAAUAAUAUCUAAUGCUAAAUAGCAUUUUUUUUUUUUAUUAUUACUCACUUUUAAAAACUGCUUCGGUUGAAGAAUAAAUUAAAAUAUGCUCUCAUGUAGCUUUUUUUUUUUAAAGAAAAAUCAUAUAAAACAUAAAUUUAAAACCCAAAGUUAACAGCGCCCUCAUCCACUCCUUGUCACGACGUAAGUGAUAGUGAGCGGCCGGAAUAUAACGCCUCGGAUUAACGUACCACCUUAUACAUAAAAUAUAAAGACAAGAAGAUGUGGUAUGAUUGCCACUGAGAAAACUCUUCUUUAGAGAUUAAUUUGUAUGUACUAAUUGAAGUGCACGGAUAUAUGUUUUUGAUUAUAAGUAUAAUUGUAUAGACAAGAUUCUUCUAAGAAUACUUUGACAUUAAGACACGAUCAUCUUUCCAUUCCAGACAUGUCAAGAUUAAUCAUGCUCCCUAUGUUUGUUUUAAACUCUACGUACAAAAACACACGUUUUUUCUAUAUGUAUCAUGCCAUUAAUCUAAAACUAUCGUCGUAUAAUCAUCAUUAAAUUAAUACAGUUCGCUUUUCUAACCAUUUUACAGUAAAUAGUUAUCAAAGGUACCAGGCUUAUAAUUUAAUACGCUAGACGCGCUUUUCGUAUGCAUAAGACUCAUCAGUGACGCUCAGAUCAAAAUAGUUAAAAAGCCAAACAGUACAAAGUUGAAGAGAUAACGAAAUAAAUGAAAACAUGUAUUGGUGCAAACAUAGUUUUGUCGUACGUUACAAAUCAUUGGUCCUACAACCAAACUGUCUGAUUGACCAUGUGUAUACUCUUAUCUAUAAAAUUUCAAAUAUUACUUCAUUUGAAUUUUACUUGAAAUUUCCUAUUUAUCUGCUAUUGCUUUGUUGCAGCAUAUCAGAGUAGCUACGAUAAUUACUUGCCAGACCAACAGGAAACAGAAUCUCUACCGACAGACAAAAGGUAUAUCUUUGAUUGAAUUGUCUUAAAUUUAAAUAUUUUAUGUUAAAAUUUGAAUUCAUGCAGUAGAUAAUUACUAUUAUUCAUUUUGUACAGUUUAUAAUAAAUAUAUUAUUAAUCAUAUGAACAAAUUUUUAAAUACUUUUGUUUUAUCCAAAGGCGUCACAUUUAAGGCUCGGUUUUGAUGCUCCAAUUUUGAUUUUCCUUUUCUUAUUAUUGAGAAAAAAAUAACAAACCACAAAAUAUAAAGAAAGUUCAAUAUUAAACUAUUGAACAUAAAAUGAUACGUGGAAACUGAAAUGAUAUAUACAUCGAUAAUCGACUAUCGUAGGUUAAAUCUACACUCUUUUUUUCUUUAGAUACGCCAUGUUAUCGUACAGCUUCAGACCAAGAAGCCGAUACGGAUCACGAAGAAGAUACCGGCCAUAUCGAAAACAUUAUAGGUACAUUUACAAGUAUUCUAACAAGUAUGUACAAACACCAAAUAGCAUCAUCUACACAUUUCUUUCGGUACUCCUUUUGGUGAUAUCUUUGCUUUUAUCAAAUAAGACUUUCGGAAACAUGAAAGUCGCAAUUAUAUUAUAAUUUAUUUUGUUUACUAUGCAUGUGCAUGUGCAUGAACCAGAAUAUACGGCGUGUUUAUCUACAAACAUAUACAUUUUUUCUCUCACUUUUCACCUUUUGAAUCUAUAUACAAAAUGAAACUCGCAUAUGGAAACAUAGAAUAUAAUAGAAUCUGUGAAAUGCAUCGUUACACAAAAGAAAGAUGUUUUUUAGAAUAACUUGAUUAUUUUUUUAUUUUUUUUUGCAAAUCAACAUAUAUACAAAUGUUAAUUCAAUUAAGUUGCAUAUAAACUCAUCAUAGAUACCAGGACUAAAAUCUAUCAGUGAAAGCAUAUACUGCUGAAGAGUUUUGGAGUUACUGUAGAAAAAAAUGAUUAUACGAAGAAUUAUCCAAAUAAUGCAACAAGAAUUUUUGAGUUUUCCAUGUUGCUGUUUCUUUCAUGUGAAUUCUUGAUUCAGUUUUUCAAUUUCUUAUAACUAUAGACAUAUUUGUAGUCUUAUUUUUCUUAUUAAUCUAUCUUUUUACUUUAAAAUAUUUGUUGUUUUAUAGAUGAGCUAUCAAAUUACGUGUAUAAUUUCUUGAACUGUGUAAAGUUUUUACGUUACUGGCUCAUAGAUGUAUAUCAAAUUUUUAUUCAUAUUAAAUCGUGUUAUUCAUAAAGUAGUAAAUGUUUAUACAUGUACUCAGAAUGUUAAUGAAUAUUUACGUUUUUUUUAUUCGGAUGUAUUUUUUUUCAAUAUCAAAAAGUUUUGCAUUACUCAUGGUCUUCAUAGGCACUUCUUACAAUUAUACUAUGCAUGACAUAUGUACAUCUUAUUACAGGUCACGAUUAAUUUGAUGACAGUCAUUUAUAUUUCUUGUUUUGUUUUUGUUUCAGUUAUAGUCAAAAUCGUGACAAGCCAUGGAUGAAACUACCCAACAUGUGGUGUUACAGGCGUCCAUGUUCUUCAACAAACGAUUGCUGUAGAAAACACAAUAUUUGUGAUCCUAGCGCAAAACGUUGCAUCGACUGCUGGUACGGUUAUCCAUGCACAAGAAAUGCUGACUGCUGUGAAAGAUUUCCUGUUUGCGACAAAAGGAGUAACUCUUGCAAGAACUAAAAUGUUUCGAAGUAAAUCAAACCAAAGCUGUGACACUAAUCAUUGCAUUUGUACUUAUUCAUUUAAUAAAUGAUUUAUUUCUUUUA